rnacentral:misc_RNA from 1 species
GAUGAAGAACGUAGCGAAAUGCGAUAAGUAAUGUGAAUUGCAGAAUUCAGUGAAUCAUCGAAUCUUUGAACGCACAUUGCGCCCAUUAGUAUUCUAGUGGGCAUGCCUGUUCGAGCGUCAUUAAGUCCACUUAAGCCCUGCUUAGUGUUGGGAAUCUACUCUAGUGGUGCUACCCUGGAGCUACCCCUGAAAGGGGGCUGGCCCGGUAGCUACCCUGUAGUUCCUCAAAGAUAGUGCGCGGAGUUGCGUGGUCCUCUGAGCUUAGUAACUAUACACCUAGCUUUUAAGUGUCCCGCGGCGCCUGCCGUUUAAACCCCAUCUUUUAAUGGUUGACCUCGGAUCAGGUAGGAAUACCCGCUGAACUUAAGCAUAUCAAUAAGCGGAGGA